AACGCACAUUGCGCCCCUUGGUAUUCCGAGGGGCAUGCCUGUUCGAGCGUCAUUAUGACCACUCAAGCCUAGCUUGGUAUUGGGGUUCGCGGUCUCGCGGCCUCUAAAAUCAGUGGCGGUGCCGUCUGGCCCUAAGCGUAGUAAUUUUCUCGCUAUGGGGUCCGGACAGUUGCUUGCCUAAACCUCUAACUUCUCACGGUUGACCUCGGAUCAGGUAGGGAUACCCGCUGAACUUAA
rnacentral:misc_RNA from 1 species